rnacentral:rRNA from 1 species
CGAAAGCCUGACGGAGCAAGACCGCGUGGGGGAGGAAGGUUCUUGGAUUGUAAACCCCUUUUCUCAGGGAAGAACAAAAUGACGGUACCUGAGGAAUCAGCAUCGGCUAACUCCGUGCCAGCAGCCGCGGUAAGACGGAGGAUGCAAGCGUUAUCCGGAAUGAUUGGGCGUAAAGCGUCCGCAGGUGGCAGUACAAGUCUGCUGUCAAAGGUCAAGGCUCAACCUUGGACAGGCAGUGGAAACUGUACAGCUAGAGUGUGGUGGGGGCAGAGGGAAUUCCCAGUGUAGCGGUGAAAUGCGUAGAGAUUGGGAAGAACACCAGUGGCGAAAGCGCCCUGCUGGCCCACAACUGACACUGAGGUACGAAAGC